GGGAGGGGAUCCGCGCUCGGCCGCUGAGAGGCGGUGUUGCCGAGGGGAGCGUGAUGGCGGCGCCGCCCAAGGUGGGUGGAGGGGCCGGCGCGCCCGCCCGCGCAGGUGGACGGACAGGUGCGCGCCCGGGCCUCCGCGGCCCCCGCCCCCCCCCCCCCCCGCCGCGGCGGGGCUCUCGCGGCCCGCACCCUCCUCCCGCCCAGCGCUGUGCCCCCCGGCGUCUGGCCGUUGGCGGGGAGGGAGGCUUGAACCGCGGCUGACCUUAGCCUUUGUCCGUCGCCUCGGUGCCGCCGUUGCCGUCGAGACCGCCAGCCCCUCCGCGCUACAUUUUUUUUUACCACCGCUCUGUCCCCCAGCGCGGCCACGGGCGCGUCAGCGCCGAGCCCCGCGCCGUUCCGCCUGCGUCGGAGAAAUGUUCCGGGUACCAGAAGGAAUGAAAGGACUUGGGGCUGGUCUCCAUGGCAACUGGGAGAAAGAGCCCCCCUCACUGUAGGGAUAACUCUGGAAACCCUAUAUCCAAACUCUGGAAAUUCCAGCUCCUGCAAGAAGCCACCCCAGAUGGUUACUACAAGAACCAAGAACACCUGUAGCUAGUCUUCUAAAUCUCGGUGCCCAGUGUGGCCUGUCUACCACCCCUCCCCCACCACCACCAAUAUAGUCCUCCUUAACCUGAGGGAGCUUUCAUCCAAGCGGUGAGUUCUGAAGAAUCAGGAAUCACUCUCAUCAUCCAAGGCUGCCAAGAUGACCCCCAAGAGCAAAACAACACCUGAAAUAUGGUAGUUUGGUUUUUGGCUUUUACAGUGUACAAAGUGCCUUUACAUGUCAUUUAAUCCUCCCAGCAUCACUGGGACGAUGAAGAAAACUUAACCAGAGGCACACAGCUUAAAAAAUGACAGAGCCUGGAUUCCUGAGAAGUUCACCUGCUCUCUGCCUUCCAGUAACCAAAAGACACAGAUUCAGUAAAAUUCCAAUAAGUUACUAGAAGGCGUUUUGUCCUCCCAAAUAAAUAUGUCUCUCUACUCUCUGGUGUGAACCUA
rnacentral:lncRNA from 1 species